AUUUUGUGAAGGGCAAGCCUCGACGAUUCUCCUGUCAGCAUCGAAAGGGUUAUUAUCGUAUUUAUAUAAAAUAAUUGUUGUCUGGUAGGCGAUCGUAAACAACAAGCUCUGCAAUAUCAUUCUCGACUAACCCAUGCAGAGAAACCCACAGGGCCGUACGAUAGCGUGUAAUAAGGGGCGCCUCGCUGAACUUUAUAUACUUCCGUCUUUUUUUGUAUUUUUAAAAAAUGUAUUAAAACUUCCUAUAAAUGUGAAGAAAUAAAACUACAUUGGACAUUUAAAAAAAGAAUUGAUUUGUUUUUUAAAAUGACAUUCCGAAAGAUACUCUUCUUUUCGGUCCGUUAUCGUAAUGUUCCUUUUUAAAUUGUGCGAAAUAACCUCUUACGAAUUGAUAUUAAUUUAGAAAACUGUCCCAGAAUUUUGAAAGCACCGCGUCGAGAGUUCCGUGUGACAGGCACACACAACGAAACCGAAGCAGCGAGAGCACUUUCCCGUAACUUCAUGCGUAGAAGAAACGUAUCGUCUAAAGAGAUGUGGUAGAGAAUGGAAAAAUCGACGAAAAGGUAAAAGUUUCACACGGUUUCUGUAAAAGAAGCUCAUUAAGUUACAAAAUGCGAAUAUUCCCUCGCAUUUCGUUCGAUUAGCACUUGUCUCGAUGUGCGAUUGUAUUCCACGAAAUUGAUUCCGCACUUCGGACAAUAUAACCCAUUACAAAUAUAUCGUUCGAUAUUGCAAUUCAAUUUAGAUCGAUUUAACGUAAUUCAAACUGAAAUUUUUCGCUCGAUUUUAUAGUUAUUAAUAAUUGAAUUACUCAUACCUGUAACUGCUAUAUAUAUUGCAUAAUAUUAAACGCUGAAAAUGCACGUGGUUAUGUUUUUUGAUUUAUAUGGAUCUAAAAUGUAAUUGUAAAGAAUACAUGGUAAGUUGAAUAUUAGCACACGUUCAAAGAAAUAACUUUUAUCGUGUUUCAGACGAUAUAACCUCACAUAAAAUGAUGCUGUAUUUUAAUAUGUAUAAUUAUAUGUAUAUAUCAUUGUAUAUGUAUGUAUCUGUAUAUAAUUUUUAUAAUCGUCUGUAUUAAUGAAUACAUACUUUAAAUGUAAUACACCUAUGUUCAUAUAAUGAGUUCAUAUAAUGGUUACUCCUGCAUAUCUUCGCUUACCACACUGCUGUACGGAUGCUUUUAUAUUGUACUUUUCAAUGACUUUAUAAUUAAAUAAGUGAAACUAUGGUGUAUAAAUAUAUGCAUAAUAAAAAGAUGUAACAUGUA